rnacentral:rRNA from 1 species
UACGUAGGGGGCAAGCGUUGUCCGGAUUUAUUGGGCGUAAAGAGCGUGUAGGCGGCCAGGUAGGUCCGUUGUGAAAACUCGAGGCUCAACCUCGAGACGCCGAUGGAAACCGACUGGCUAGAGUCCGGAAGAGGAGAGUGGAAUUCCCGGUGUAGCGGUGAAAUGCGCAGAUAUCGGGAAGAACACCCGUGGCUAAGGCGGCUCUCUAGUACGGUACUGACGCUGAGACGCGAAAGCGUGGGGAGCGAACAGG